GUUUAUCCCACUUCAGCAGCACAUACACUAAAAUUGAAAUGAUGCAGACAUUAGCAUGGCCCUUGCCCAAGGACUGCAUGCAAAUUUAUGAAGUGUUGCAUAUUUUU